UGGCAAUAAUCCAAGACUCAUGUUACUUAAAAGCUCUGGAGACAUGUAGGAGGCAUUUCUGUGUCACCUUUACAAAGGUAAACUGAUACAACAUACAAAUCAAAUGACAACUAGAAUGCUAAAACCACAGUGUGGGAGCUGUGCCCUAGAUAUUUGCACUGACUUAAUCCAAUUGAAAUAGUAUGAGUGAGUUGCAGGGGCUCCCAGGUCUGUUGCUUGCUUAUGUAUGUGAUGCAUAAUAGAAGUUGACGAGGUUGGUGAUAGAUCACAGCCCAGCCCCCAUCCUCCCCCCUCCACGUUCAUCAUCUUCCCUAAACGCGUUAGUGGAGCACAAACCAGAAGCAGCCUUAAUCUGUCAACAUGCCCUUUAAUUGGAGGGAGAAAACAACACGUGCUUCUGGUUAUGCCAUUCCUAAGUGCACAUGCCAAAGAAACACAGAGUUCAUGGAAGAAGUGAUCCCGGGAGAGCAGGGCAUAAUUAAAAGUAUCUUUUAAUAGGCUUGUAAUGCUGAGCCAGACUCUUGUUGCUUUAAGUAGAGGGCGAACUCUGUGGCUGGAGACGGACAUGCAAGGGGCUUCUGCUGAGGGAGCCUGUAAACGAUACAUUGCCUCGUCGUCAUCAGACAUGCAGUCUCUGCCUCAGUCACCACACUCGAGAUGACAGCCACUUUCCACCCCUGCCGCGGACACCUUGGCUUACCCGUUGCCGUGUUCUUUUGUUCUCAGAAUGAGAGAUUCUCCUCCACGACAUCACCUCUCCUCAUCUCCUUCCCAGCCACUUUGGCAAGUUGUGUUCUACCUCCUACUCACAGCACCAGCGGGGAGUGAGAACUGGGACUAAGAGGUUGAUUUGGGGCCUGCUACACUGUAAUCAAAUGAGACUGCUUAGGGGAGAGGAGAAGGAGGAGGUGGAGUAUUAUGUUCUGUCAUGCAUUCCACUGCAGCAUUGUUGCUUUUUUGUUUUUGUCAGGGCAGGCUUUGAUGCUGUAUCCUCUUACCUUUGUAGUCCCGGUAGCCAUGUUUCAUAAACACGGAAUGGGAAACAUCCUCAGCAUUAGAAAUUUAGAUUGCUGCUUUCCUCCUGCCACUCUGCAUUCCGCACGUGCCCGGUCGCAUUCUCCAUCUCCCAAUGCUGAGUAACCAUUUUGUCCGACAUCUGACACACUGCCCUGGGUUAUUGAGCCAGACGUGGAAAUCCAAAGCGGAGAUGCUCUCCUUAAUGCCUGACACCUGGUGCAGAUUUGGAAGGGAUUGCACUACAGGGUAUGCUUUACAAGUGGACGCUACUCUGGAGUGUUGCAGCUCACCUUACCGCUUGCAGUCACAUCUGCAGACUGUGCUGGAGCAGAAUGGCUAGCGAACAUAAACACAGCAAGGACAUCAAAGGCCGGCAGGUUGGGCUAUACCACCUGAGCAUGCUGAUUGCAGUGCAGCUGCGUCCAGUUCUGUCACUGGUCCUUAGUGCUCCAGCAGCCUGGUCAAAAAGACAUCCUGGCAGGGUCCCAGGGUGGAUGCAUCGCCCACGCACGCUGCUCUUGCCAGAUCCCAGAAGUCUUUGUGGUGAACCACUGACCGUGCUGCUCCCUAUUUUCUUCCAACCCAGCAAAUAAUGUGUCAGAAAAAGAUUAUUGAUAGCCCAUAAAAGAAGAGGCAGAAUGUUGUUGCCACUCUGCUCCAACUUUAAGGAACAAUACAAGUGCUAAACCAUCAGUUUCAAUGGUGCACUGCUCCUGAAAGAGCACAGCAUUUAUUUUUCACAUUGUUGUUCAGUUUGAAUAAAAGGUGCUACAACUGGAACAUGAACAGACAACAAUUACUUCUAUUUUUUUUAAAUGCUGCUUCAUUUUCCUUUACAUUUGAAACCUUGUAGUGAAGUUGGCAACUUUGUACUGUGUCUAUUCAAAAGAAAAAUGAGAUCCCUCAAAAGAAACAUUGAAAUUUUCUCCAUGCUCUGUUGAGUCAUUCGCAUUUUUUGCCAACUUUACCAGACACUGGCGAAGCUGUUGCUCAUCUGGCCUAAAUGUGGCCUGAGUGGGUGAUUCUCAGACAGAUGAGGG
ensembl:lncRNA